rnacentral:rRNA from 1 species
UACAGAGGUGGCAAGCGUUGUUCGGAAUUACUGGGCGUAAAGGGCGCGUAGGCGGUUCGGUAAGUCCUGUGUGAAAUCCCUCGGCUCAACUGAGGAACUGCACGGGAGACUGCCGGGCUUGAGUUCGGGAGAGGGAAGCGGAAUUCCGGGUGGUAGCGGUGAAAUGCGUAGAUAUCCGGGAGGAACACCGGUGGCGAAGGCGGCUUCCUGGACCGACACUGACGCUGAGGCGCGAAAGCUAGGGGAGCAAACGGG